UUCGCAAUGCCCGAAAGGGUGACGAAGCGACGCCGCGUGCGGGAAGAAGGCCUUCGGGUUGUAAACCGCUGUCGGGAGUUAGGAAGUGCAAGGAUGUUAAUAGCGUUCUUGCUUGACUAAGGCUCCGGAGGAAACCACGGCUAACUCUGUGCCAGCAGCCGCGGUAAUACAGAGGCGGCAAGCGUUGUUCGGAAUUAUUGGGCGUAAAGAGCACGUAGGCGGCUGUGUAAGUCGGUUGUGAAAGCCUUCCGCUUAACGGAAGAACGGCAUCCGAUACUGCAUAGCUUGAGUGCGGGAGGGGAGAGUGGAACUUCUGGUGGAGCGGUGAAAUGCGUAGAUAUCAGAAGGAACACCGGCGGCGAAGGCGACUCUCUGGUCCGUAACUGACGCUGAGUGUGCGAAAGCUAGGGGAGCAAACGGGAUUAGAUACCCCGGUAGUCCUAGCCGUAAACGAUGGGCACUAAGUAGAGGGGUUUU
rnacentral:rRNA from 1 species